AAAAAAGCAGGGAUCUAGUUGCCAUUUGUGGAUAGGUCUCUCGUAAACUUCAGGGAUAGAAGUCGUGCAAUGUUAUUGGGUGAACCACUUGAGUUUUUCCUAUGAUUUGAUGGUUCAGUAAACAAUGCUACAUUU